GUCCCUGUAGCGCAAUGGGUAGGGCAUUGGACUUCUAAUCCAAAGGUCGUGGUUUCGAAUUCCACAAGAGAUG